UGAAAUCUUUGGCAGCCUUCAGGUUCCCGAGUUGGUCGUCAGUCAGAAAUCUAUUGACUCGGAAUCAUCAGCAGACGAAGAUAUUGGGAAUAAAGAAGGAACUAUUGAUCAUGCACAACAUCAAGUUUCUUCUUCAAGAUUUGAUGCAGAUACCCAUAUUUUGUCUCAUCUUGUUGUAGACCACGCCGUUGAAUCCCUUUUAACGUCCUCAGAUCAUCAAAACAUUCGCCAGAUGAGUGAUGAACAGCA
rnacentral:misc_RNA from 1 species